GCUUCCUUUCCGCUCGGCUGUUUUCCUGCGCAGGAGGUGAGGGAGACUGGGUCCUGGCCUUUGGGCAUCAUCCAGCGCCAUCGGCCUGGCGCUUCAGCCAACGCGGGAGUGGAUGGGCCCCUUCUUCUUCGCAGACAGCGUUCGGCCGCUGCCCGGGCUCUAGGCGCGGCCGGACGGCCCAGUCUGGAGGGUUCGGGGCGGAGGCCCGGGGGGGUGCGCGCGCCCGGGGUCCGGCCUCUCACUCGCUCCCCUCUCGUCCGCAGCCGCAGGGCCGUAGGCAGCCAUGGCGCCCAGCCGGAAUGGCAUGGUCUUGAAGCCCCACUUCCACAAGGACUGGCAGCGGCGCGUGGCCACGUGGUUCAACCAGCCGGCCCGUAAGAUCCGCAGGUGAGCCCUGCGCUCGGGGCUGCCCCUGGGGCUCGUGCCCGCGGCUGCGCCUUGGCUUGCGGGUGGCCGAUGCCAGGGCGGGGGGCGCUGUCUGCAACCGUCGCGGAGCGCUGGCCUGGCGGCCUUAGGCAAGGGUGACCGCCGCUGCGCUUCUCUCCACCAGACGUAAGGCCCGGCAAGCCAAGGCGCGCCGCAUCGCCCCGCGCCCCGCGUCGGGUCCCAUCCGGCCCAUCGUGCGCUGCCCCACGGUUCGGUACCACACGAAGGUGCGCGCCGGCCGCGGCUUCAGCCUGGAGGAGCUCAGGGUGAGUACUGGCAGCGCUGCGGUGUCAGGAAGGCCCCGAAGUCCCCUCUGUUGGCCUCAGUCGCGUGAUGACAUUCUCCGGAAUCGCUGUACGGCCUUGAUGAAAGCACAUUUGAACCCUUUUCCAUCUGAUUGCUGAGGCUUUUCAUCCAGGCCUCGGGGCUGGAGAAAGCCCGGGCCUGUCUCCAUCUCUCUCUGGUUCUGGGGCAGGUGGCCGGCAUUCACAAGAAGGUGGCCCGGACCAUCGGCAUUUCUGUGGAUCCGAGGAGGCGGAACAAGUCCACGGAGUCCCUGCAGGCCAACGUGCAGCGGCUGAAGGAGUACCGCUCCAAACUCAUCCUCUUCCCCAGGAAGCCCUCGGCCCCCAAGAAGGGAGACAGUUCUGUGAGUACACGGCUCUCUGGCCGUCCUGGUGCGCGGGGACAGUGAGGCUUGGCUCCUUUAUCAGUGACACCGGUCCCUGGGUCUUGCUGGGGUGAGAAGAACCAAAACAUUGUGGGUGAUGAGCUAAGCGGGACUGCUAAGGUUCACCUGUGCGUUUCCGCAGAGAUAACCUUAAUGGACAUGGCAAGGCUGUGUGACUUGGAGGCAGCUUUUUCCAUUGACGUUGCUCUCCCUAAAAUGCUUCGUAUUCCAAAAUAUUUCUAGAAAGACCUUGUAGGAUAAGGUUGAUAAAGAGUCCAUUGUAUACGUUUCCGGGUAGUUAAAUUAGGGAACAGUUUUCUCUGCCCCGCCCGUGGUUCACAGGUAGAUAACUGUCUCGUGCGUGUUGCGUCAACUCAGUAAGAUAUAGUCACCUAACUAAUAAGGACUGUUCUUAACAUUGGGGCCACAAAGUGUGUUGUAGAAAAGGCUCAGACACUGGUCCUGAACACGGAAUCCCCAGGGGAAAGUUUGGGGCCAGGUGAGGGUGGAGUCCUUGCAGCAGUGCGGCCAACCCCACUUAACUCUUCUCAUUCACCAACAGGCUGAAGAACUGAAACUGGCCACCCAGCUGACCGGACCGGUCAUGCCCGUCCGGAACGUAAGUGAACACUUACUCAAAUCCAGGCUUCAGACGAGAUCAGUGGGUGAACACGUGGGUAUCUGAGAUGCGGGUGAUGGGGGUCAGGCUUAAGAACGUUAAUAGUGGCAGUUGUGGGUGUGGAGGUUUGCGGAAAGGAACAUUUCUUCUUAGUUUUUACUUCUUGCAACCAUGAAGCCAUACAUUGGGAAGUAUUUUUGUUUGUUUUGUGUUUUUUUGUUGUUGUUGGAAAGAGAGUUUCUCUAUGCUGCUUACAUUGGUUUUGAAUUGCUGGGUUUACAGGCUUGAGCCGCCAUGUCCAGCUCAGGGAGGGUUUUUCUUUUUUUUUUUAAAUCCCAGGGAAGGUGAUUGACUCAGGGUUGCUUUUCAGCAGUACUUAUGGCAGCGAACCUGACCCCCAAUCCCCGGGAGGUCCUCCAGGUUCUCCUGACGCUUGGUUGUUCCCUUGCCCUUUGGUGCAUGUGGGUUUAACAACCUGUCUUUCUCUUCUAGGUCUAUAAGAAGGAGAAAGCUCGAGUCAUCACUGAGGAAGAGAAGAAUUUCAAAGCCUUCGCUAGUCUCCGUAUGGCCCGUGCCAACGCCCGGCUCUUCGGCAUACGGGCAAAAAGAGCCAAGGAAGCCGCAGAACAGGAUGUUGAAAAGAAAAAAUAAA
rnacentral:lncRNA from 10 species